GAAGGGCACCGCGGCGGGAGGGAAGAAACAGAGCAAGCUACUCUGCGGGAGCGCAGUUACCAGCCAGCUGCGGUCACGUGCCGGGGAGGAGGAGCUGAGACCUCAGGGGAGGGGCGCGCGGUAGCGCCCCGGGUCCCCUAGCAGGGCUUUGGAGACCACGUGAAGUCUCGUCCGUAUCUAGCACGCAGCCCCCACCGCUCCCAACCCCACCCCCAGCGCCUCUCGGGCGGAGACCUGCGACCUGCAGCCGCCUUCCGGGGCCCCGGGCACCCUCUCCCGACCCUCUCAAUCCCUGGCGGCUCUUCCAGUCUGACAGGCGAAUCCCCAGUCACCAACAACAGAUCAGGACGGGUUGCUCCCACUUUAUUUUCAGCCGGGUCUUCCACCUCUCCCUCACUACUUAUGAAAUCCCCCACGGAAUAGUUCUGUAACAGCAAACGGUGAAGCCAAGUCACCUCACUGGUCACGAAACCCUUUUUGUUUACACUUAAGGAGCUUCUGGCGAGGCAGUAUUCUUAAAUCAUAAACCGUAUUUUUUGGAGACUACACAUCAAUGAGUUGUACCUGUAGCCUGAUGUGUAAAGCUCAUUUAGUGAAACCUCAGAGCUAUUAUGUGUCAACUUUUCUACAAUAAAUAUUUUGCCACAUGACAAAUGUUCGGCAAAUGU